rnacentral:rRNA from 1 species
UACGAAGGGUGCAAGCGUUACUCGGAAUUACUGGGCGUAAAGCGUGCGUAGGUGGUUUGUUAAGUCUGAUGUGAAAGCCCUGGGCUCAACCUGGGAAUUGCAUUGGAUACUGGCAGGCUAGAGUGCGGUAGAGGGUAGUGGAAUUCCCGGUGUAGCAGUGAAAUGCGUAGAGAUCGGGAGGAACAUCCGUGGCGAAGGCGACUACCUGGACCAGCACUGACACUGAGGCACGAAAGCGUGGGUAGCAACAGG